UCCCUGGUGGCUCAGUGGUAAAGAAUCUACCUGCCAAUGCAGGAGACACAGGUUCGAUCCCUGACCUGGGAA
rnacentral:tRNA from 1 species